UCCGGUUGAUCCUGCCGGACCUGACUGCUAUCGGGAUAAGACUAAGCCAUGGAAGUCGACGCGCGCCCUUGCGCGCGUGGCGUACGGCUCAGUAACGCGUGGUUAACCUGCCCUCGCGAUGGGUAUAACCUCGGGAAACUGAGGAUAAUCCCCAAUAGGCGAUUGGAUCUGGAAGGACCUUUCGCCCAAAGGGAUGGGGCAAAUGGGCCUCAUCCGCGCGAGGAUGGGACUGCGUCCCAUCAGGCAGUUGGUGGGGUAAUGGCCCACCAAACCUAUAACGGGUACGGGCCGUGAGAGCGGGAGCCCGGAGAUGGGCACUGAGACAAGGGCCCAGGCUCUACGGAGCGCACCAAGCGCGAAACCUUCGCAAUGCGCGAAAGCGUGACGGGGCUAUCCCGAGUGCUAGCCGCUGAGGCUAGCUUUUGCUCAGUGUAAGAAGCUGAGCGAAUAAGUGGGGGGCAAGACUGGUGUCAGCCGCCGCGGUAAUACCAGCUCCACGAGUGGUCAGGACGGUUAUUGGGCCUAAAGCGUCCGUAGCCGGCUCAGCAAGUUUAUGGUGAAAUCCGUCGUCUCAAGCGUCGGAGUGCUGUAAAUACUGCUGGGCUAGGGAGUGGGAGAGGCCGAGGGUACCUCCGGGGUAGGGGCGAAAUCCUAUAAUCCCGGAGUGACGACCAGUGGCGAAAGCGCUCGGCUAGAACACGUCCGACGGUGAGGGACGAAAGCUGGGGCAGCAAACCGGAUUAGAUACCCGGGUAGUCCCAGCCGUAAACCAUGCGGGCUAGUUGUCGGAGCGGCUUAGUGCCGCUCCGGUAACGCAGGGAAGCCAUUAAGCCCGCCGCCUGGGGAGUACGACCGCAAGGUUGAAACUUAAAGGAAUUGGCGGGGGAGCACCACAAGGGGUGAAGCUUGCGGCUCAAUUGGAGUCAACGCCGGG
rnacentral:rRNA from 1 species